CUGCAAGGAUGAUUUAAGAACUGAACUCUCUCUUUCUGAUGGCUCCAUGGAGAAAGCAGAAAUUCUGAGUAGC